GACGAACGCUGGCGGCGUGCUUAACACAUGCAAGUCGAGCGGAGCGGCGGACGGGUGAGUAACGCAUGAGUAACUGCCCCCCUCCCUGGGAUAACAGUUGGCAACGGCUGCUAAUACCGGAUAGUGGGGGAUGACUCGGGUCCUAUCAGCUUGUUGGUGGGGUAGUGGCCUACCAAGCCGACGACGGGUAGCCGGCCUGAGCGGGCGACCAGCCACAAUGGGCUGGGGUACGGCCCAAACUCCAACGGGAGACAGCAGUUGGGAAUAUUGCACAAUGGGGGAAACCCUGAUGCAGCAACGCGCGUGCGGGAAGACGGCCUUCGGGUUGUAAACCGCUUUCAGCCAUGACGCGGUAGUGGCAGAAGAAGCACCGGCUAACUACGUGCCAGCAGCCGCGGUAAUUC
rnacentral:rRNA from 1 species